UCAUUUCUUAUUUUAGAAUUG
rnacentral:piRNA from 1 species